UACGUAGGGGGCUAGCGUUGUCCGGAUUUAUUGGGCGUAAAGAGCGUGUAGGCGGCCAGGUAGGUCUGGUGUGAAAACUCGAGGCUUAACCUCGAGAUGUCAUCGGAAACCAUCUGGCUAGAGUCCGGAAGAGGAGAGUGGAAUUCCUGGUGUAGCGGUGAAAUGCGCAGAUAUCAGGAAGAACACCAAUGGCGAAAGCAGCUCUCUGGGACGGUACUGACGCUGAGGAGCGAAAGCAUGGGGAGCGAACAGG
rnacentral:rRNA from 1 species